rnacentral:lncRNA from 1 species
CAGAAGCAGACCUGGGACACAUAAAUAUUGAUGGCUGGGUAAGAGAAGCCAGAGAGAAGAACAGCAAAUGAAAUAACGGCUUUAGGGAUCCUGUGAUGGUGCACUUUGUCAGCAUCGCGAUAACCCAGAAGAGAACACGUGUAGAUGGCCUCUAUGAAGCUCUUUUGCUUGUUAGCAGCUGGUCAAAGUUAGCAGAAAUGGAAGGAAGUGAACUCAACCAACAAAAGAGAACUGAGCAAUUCAUCCCGGAGUGUAUUAAACCAUUCUCACACUUC